GUCACCUUCAGUCCGCUCAGAGCAGAGGAAUCAUUUCCAUAGAGAGGAGGCUUUGCAUCGUCAGCUGAUCCUCCACUGAACUGAGAAGCUUUAUAGUCCUGUGACUCCAACUCUGCAGGACUCAGACCCGUCAGUCGACCACAACCACCAUGACUCUCAUCACCCUCCUCAUCUGGACGCUGGCCUGCUGCAGCUUCACAGGAUGCAGCGGCCAGGUGACUGUGACUCAGCCUCCAGUCGUGACAUUUACUCCAGGAUCCACUGUCACGCUGACCUGUAAAACCAACCCCAGUGUUUAUAGGGAUAGUUAUGGUGAUUAUAUGUCCUGGUACCAGCAGAAACCUGGACAGGCUCCCAAGCUUCUUAUAUACUAUGCAUCAACUCUAUAUUCAGGAACACCAGCUCGGUUUAGUGGCAGUGGAAGCAGCUCUGACUUCUCUUUGACCAUCAGUGGAGUUCAGAGUGAAGAUGCAGCAGUUUACUACUGUCAGAGCCUCCAUUAUUUAAACGGAGCAUAUCUGUUGACACAGUGAUUUACAGUCGUACAA